CACGUAGGGCGCAAGCGUUGUCCGGAAUUAUUGGGCGUAAAGAGCUCGUAGGCGGUCUGUUGCGUCCGCUGUGAAAACUCGGGGCUUAACCCCGAGCCUGCAGUGGAUACGGGCAGACUAGAGGUAGGUAGGGGAGAAUGGAAUUCCCGGUGUAGCGGUGAAAUGCGCAGAUAUCGGGAGGACACCGGUGGCGAAGGCGGUUCUCUGGGCCUACCUGACGCUGAGGAGCGAAAGCGUGGGGAGCGAACAGG
rnacentral:rRNA from 1 species